AUUAAUUUGAUUUUGGUUAAUUAAAAAUUGUUUUAUCUUUUAUUUAUAAUGUAUUUUUUUUUAAUAUUAUUUUUACAGUAUUUUAUAUUAAUAUUUAAUUUUAUUAUUUAAUUAGACUAGAUAAUUAAAUUUGAUAAUAUUGUGCCAGCAUCAGCGGUUAUACAAUUAAUUUUAAUAAUUUUUUUUGGUAAAAUAUAAUUAAUUUAUUUAUUUUUAUUUAUAUAUUAUUUAGAGUGAAAUUUUAUAUUAUUUUGUUUUUUAGAUUUUAUGAAAUUUUGAUCUUUAACUAGGAUUAGAUACCCUAUUAUAUUGAAGUUUAAAGUUUUACCUAGGUAUUAUAAGGUAUUUCUAAAAACUUAAAAUAUUUGGCGGUAAAUAUAUUUUUUAGAGGAACUUGUAUUGUAAUCGAUAAUCCUCGUUUAAUUUUACCUUAAUUUAUUUAUUAAUAUAUCGUUGUUUAGAAAUUUUUUAUUGAAUUAAUUUUCUUUAUUCUUUAUGAGAUAAAAAUCAAAUCAAGGUGUUAUUAUAUUAAGGUUUAUUAUGAGUUACAUUUAAUUUUAUUAAUUGUUGAAUAAUUUAUUUAAAUGUAUAUUUGAAAUUGGAUUUAAUUGUAAAUAAUUAUUAAAUUGAAUUAUUGAAUUUAUUCUUAUUUGUGUACAUAUUGCCCGUCGCUCUUGUUUUUUAAAAUAAGAUAAGUCGUAACAUAGUAAUUUUACUGGAAAGUGAAGUUGGAUUGAA
rnacentral:ncRNA from 1 species